GCCCGGUAGUUGAAAUGGCUUUCCCUCCAGAGUGGAUCCUGAGUACGGCGGAACACGUGAAAUUCCGUCGGAAUCCGGGAGGACCAUCUCCCAAGGCUAAAUACUCCCUAGUGACCGAUAGUGAACCAGUACCGUGAGGGAAAGGUGAAAAGCACCCCGGAAGGGGAGUGAAACAGUUCCUGAAACCGUGUGCCUACAAGUAGUUAGAGCCCGUUAAUGGGUGAUAGCGUGCCUUUUGUAGAAUGAACCGGCGAGUUACGAUUUGUUGCAAGGUUAAGCGGAAAAAGCGGAGCCGUAGCGAAAGCGAGUCUGAAUAGGGCGCAUAAGUAACAGGUCGUAGACCCGAAACCAGGUGAUCUACCCAUGUCCAGGAUGAAGGUAAGGUAAUACUUACUGGAGGUCCGAACCCACGCACGUUGAAAAGUGCGGGGAUGAGGUGUGGGUAGCGGAGAAAUUCCAAUCGAACUUGGAGAUAGCUGGUUCUCUCCGAAAUAGCUUUAGGGCUAGCCUCGAGGUAAAGAGUCAUGGAGGUAGAGCACUGUUUGGACUAGGGGCCCUUCUCGGGUUACCGAAUUCAGAUAAACUCCGAAUGCCAUGUACUUAUACUCGGGAGUCAGACUGCGAGUGAUAAGAUCCGUAGUCGAAAGGGAAACAGCCCAGACCACCAGUUAAGGUCCCCAAAUAUAUGUUAAGUGGAAAAGGAUGUGGGGUUGCUUAGACAACCAGGAUGUUGGCUUAGAAGCAGCCACCAUUGAAAGAGUGCGUAAUAGCUCACUGGUCGAGUGACCCCGCGCCGAAAAUGUACCGGGGCUAAACAUAUUACCGAAACUGUGGAUGAACCUCUUUAGAGGUUCGUGGUAGGAGAGCGUUCUAAGGGCGGUGAAGUCAGACCGGAAGGACUGGUGGAGCGCUUAGAAGUGAGAAUGCCGGUAUGAGUAGCGAAAGAAGGGUGAGAAUCCCUUCCACCGAAUAUCUAAGGUUUCCUGAGGAAGGCUCGUCCGCUCAGGGUUAGUCGGGACCUAAGCCGAGGCCGAUAGGCGUAGGCGAUGGACAACAGGUAGAGAUUCCUGUACCAGUGCUAAUUGUUUAACCGAUGGGGUGACACAGAAGGAUAGGGAAUCGCACGAAUGGAAAUGUGCGUCCAAGCAGUGAGUGUGAGAAGUAGGCAAAUCCGCUUCUCGCGAAGCAUGAGCUGUGAUGGGGAAGGAAAUUAAGUACGGAAGUUCCUGAUUUCACGCUGUCAAGAAAAGCCUCUAGGAAGAGUAGUACUGCCCGUACCGCAAACCGACACAGGUAGAUGAGGAGAGAAUCCUAAGGUGAGCGAGAGAACUCUCGUUAAGGAACUCGGCAAAAUGACCCCGUAACUUCGGGAGAAGGGGUGCUCUAUUAGGGUGCAAGCCCGAGAGAGCCGCAGUGAAUAGGCCCAGGCGACUGUUUAGCAAAAACACAGGUCUCUGCAAAACCGUAAGGUGACGUAUAGGGGCUGACGCCUGCCCGGUGCUGGAAGGUUAAGAGGAGUGCUUAGCUUCGGCGAAGGUACGAAUUGAAGCCCCAGUAAACGGCGGCCGUAACUAUAACGGUCCUAAGGUAGCGAAAUUCCUUGUCGGGUAAGUUCCGACCCGCACGAAAGGCGCAACGAUCUGGGCACUGUCUCAACGAGAGACUCGGUGAAAUUAUAGUACCUGUGAAGAUGCAGGUUACCCGCGACAGGACGGAAAGACCCCGUGGAGCUUUACUGCAACCUGAUAUGGAAUGUUUGUACCGCUUGUACAGGAUAGGUAGGAGCCGAAGAGACGUGUGCGCUAGCAUACGAGGAGGCAAUGGUGGGAUACUACCCUGGCUGUAUGACCAUUCUAACCCGCCACGCUUAGCGCGUGGGGAGACAGUGUCAGGUGGGCAGUUUGACUGGGGCGGUCGCCUCCUAAAGAGUAACGGAGGCGCCCAAAGGUUCCCUCAGAAUGGAUGGAAAUCAUUCGCAGAGUGUAAAGGCACAAGGGAGCUUGACUG
rnacentral:rRNA from 1 species